UCCCCUAGACUGAACCAACUACAUAUGUGGUAAUAGAAAAAUAAACUAAACAUUUUAUAAUCAUAAAUAAAUACAAACGUAAGCAAUAAAUCAAACAUAAUCAAGCAAGCACAUGCAUUAAAAACUACAGCUUUAAACAAGCAGAGGGAUACUUAAUUAAAAUCAGCUACCCCUUCUCUACAUUAUCAAUGGUACUGCCCUGACUACAGUAAGUUAGUACCCAGGGAAGUUAUUAAAAGAUUCCCUCAACAAGAUGGUGGUUUCCCCACUUCCUGUAACAAAAUGGAGGACCUCACCACCACACCCCACUCCUGGACCCUCCCAGCUGCAAAACAGCAACUCAGGAAACGGAGGCUGAAACACGCGUCCUCCGAAACUUGUUCCUGCCAAUCCGUCAUUUUUCGCACUGCGGAUCCACAGCGAAGCCACCAGACCUAUAGUGCCGGAGGACAACACAGAUCUGAAUGGCUCCAUUGCAGAACCGCAGGUGCAGCCACAGUGUGCCAAUUGUGCGCCGCCCCCUAGGAACCCCCAGUCACGGUCGGCAAUGACAUAGCCUGGAUUCGAACCUGCGAUCUCCAGGCUAUAGGGCGCAUCCUGCACUCCAUGCGGCGAGCCUUUACUGGAUGCGCCACUCGGGAGCCCCAAAACACAAUUUUUUAAGACAACCUUACACAGCUUUCAUGCCACACCUGGAACAGAGAAACAGCUGUGGGAAUUUACAAAGGACAACUUUUAAGGAGAAUAAGAGUUCAACAGAAUCAGGGUUUCAUAAAACUAAGGAAUGGCCAUAACACUUGAAAGGUAUGAAAAGCAGAACUGUAUAACGCCCAUUACGGUAUCUCCAUAUUGUCUUACUUUUAACAGCAUAUAAUGACACAUAGUGUCAUGAUUUGCACUAGCCCUCAAGCCUGAACAAUAACCAAAACAUGUGCCAUAACAGCAGCAAAAGCAUGUCAACCCUAACACAAACUCCUAAUGAUAAGAUUAACCUAAUUGCUCCAAAUUGGUUCUAGAAAUGCCAAGUCGAACUCUGUUGUAACCUAUUGUAACAAAGGUUUGGAUUCAGCACCCACCAGCACUUGAAGCAUCUGAAAUGCUGCAUUCCAGACCACUAAAAAGCCAUAAUAAUGUGCAAACAGGGUGCAAGUCAAGUGUCCACCACUGGAACCACUGAUGCCAAGCUCUUUGGCCUGAUUAGUGGUCUCUAAGAGCAGAUCUGGUUUAAUUUAAUUCAGUUUCCCCAUGACCGGCUGCAUUAUGCAGAUCAUGUCAUCAAUCAUGGAGCUCUUUCUUUGCUUUAUAUUUCUCCUGUGUAUAGUUGCUAAAAUAAUGUCACUUUAAAGACUGUUUUUAUUUACACUAAAUUAAAUAAAUAGUGAUUUCUUCAGGCUACUUUAUUGACUUACUCUGCAUCUCGAACCUUCAAAGUCCCAGUGCUCAAGGAAAAUCUUGUGUUCUAGCUUCUGUCCCCUGUAGUCUGUGCUUUCUCCUGUAGUCCCAUUAUACUGGAAUGGCUUUGUUUUGGUUUACUCUUUACAUCUUCCUCAGUAAUUUACCUUUUUACUUCUAUUUUCCUUCACUCAUCUCUGUGCAGGUUAUUACUGUACUGUAGUGUUGCAAAGAAACAAAAUCUUAUUUUAAAGUGGAACUGAAUAGGCUGUAGGGUUUACAACCAAUCAUGAUACUUCCCGUUGCAGCCUGCUGUGUUGUACCAAUUCCUUCAUCAUCUAUAUCUAUAAUUGCUGAGAUAUGUGUUGUCAGUCAGAAACUGCAAUAGAGUAAAUUCUAUGUACCCUUGCUGUUCCUGUGGCUUGCCUAACAAGUUGAUUUAUAGUGUUGCUAUAGGGAACAUUUACAAACCAUACAAUAUUUCAAACACAAAAUCAUCCGUGUAUCACGGUUUACUUUAGUGGACAUUCUGUCUGCCGCUCACUGUAAUUGGGAUUCCAAAUCCACGGUGUAGUUUCAAGAAGUAAACUUCACAAAUAAUCCUAUUCACAGUUUGCCACGGAACGAGCUUGAAAUGGAAAGUCUAAUACACCCGUUUCAUAAUCGCUUUUGCUUGAGGAUGCAGCGAGUGUACUUGGAGACAACUGUCUCUAUACUCAAUGCGUCCUGUAGUUACUGCUUAAGUAUCUCUACUGCAGGGGUCUGACUGUUAACAUGGUCUGCUUCCAGGUGGUAAAGUAGGCUAAACUAUGGAAUAAUGUAGUAAACAGACACUCAGGAAUUUAUUGCCGUACUGAAUAAUUUCCUUUAUCCUGAUUUCAUUAAGUUGUAAAGUUAUUGUUAAUCAAUCAAAGAUCACAUUGUGUUUUUGUUGCAGGCUUUUUUUAUUCUCAUAGUAUUAUAAUGUCACCAACAAUUAACUCUCACCAUCCCAGUUAAAUGCAUUAUUAUCUUUUCAAAACCAAUAUGAACAUGAUCAUAAUAUUUGUGUGUACAGUCACUUGUUAGAAUCUGACUCUUGCUCCAGGCCUUAUGGAAAGGAGAUCUUAACUCUCGUGGGAGCUUCUUUAAUUUAAAGGGAAUUUGAGUCCAGUGUGAAGAAUGUGUUUGACUAAAUGCAUUUUGUCUGAAUGUUUAAGCGUGGUGUUUGGAAAAAUACAUUUCAUCCACAAAAUGAUUUUUACGUCUGUGACUUCAGCUGCAAAACCCUCAGUGACUUAUCUGCAUAUAAGGACCACUCUGAAAAACGAUUUCUUCCCCAUGUUAAAUACAGAGAUAUAAUGACCACCUGUCUGUAGAGACCACUUUUAGAUAUCCCUUGGUUGUUUGACUGUAUAUCUUUGUUUCUGGCAGCUGAUGUAAUGAAGCAAGUGUGAAAGGAGUUGACAAAGAAAUGACUGUAUUUGGUUCAUUACAAGUUUCUACUUACAAAUGACACGGAAAAACAAAUUGUCACUAGAAUUUUGAAGAAAGUAAUGUUUAAAAAAAAAAAAAAAGUAAGUACACAUUGGAGUAAGGGGACUUUUGUUUUGGAUAUGUAACAAAUAAACUAAUAACAUAAGUUGAUGUGCACAGCCCAUACAAUAUCCAAUACAGUUUUAUUUGUUAUUGACAAUUCAUAUCUGGCAGAAUAUGGAAUGAGGCAAAAUAGCAACGCAUUUCAGUUGAACUCUUGACCCAUAGUGAAUGAUCUAAAACUGAUGGCUGUGGCUGGCAGGACUUCAUCCUAUGCUUCAGUGCUUUGCUCUAUGGUUGCCAAUCUAGCUAUAUUUAAGCCCUUCAUUGGGGUUACCUGGACUCCCAAGCACAAAUUUAAGAAGCAUCUGUUCUGGAAGAAUAAUAAUUAUUUUUCACACACCAUUUACUACUAUAGAUAUGCUAAAUCAAUUUAACCAGAUCUCUAAAGGUCAUUGUGCUAGUUUUUUUCAGUUUUAUUAUGGCAUGGCACAUACACUAGGCUAUAUGUAUGUGAAAUAAUUUGAUUUGGGCAUCAACCCAGCCUGCCCCCCACCCCCUGCCAAUACACACACAAAAUGACACUUUUUCAAAAUAAAGUUGUAGUAGAAAUAUUACCGGAAGCGGUGGGCCAUAUGUAUUUUACUCAGGGCAUAUAAGACAUCUUACCUGCUGAUGUUCCAAGUGCCAAGUACAGUACUGGUCUGUAUGCUGUCUUCUUUCGCUUCUGUUAAUAUUAAAAGUCAUAUCUGUUAUUCAAUUGAAUGGUUUAGUAAUACUACCUGUUACUGUUUAGUAAUUUCUGGUAGUUGUGGUGGAUUUGUCUUGUGCCAUUAACCUUCGGCAUAGCAACAGCAGCGAAAGAAGAAAGACACAGACUUACCCUUUUCUCAUUUGGGAACGGUGUUAUUUAGGAUAUGAUUAAUACAAGGGAAUUGAAGAUUAAUCUAUUUUUUUUAAAUCGACUACACAUUUAAUUUAACUGUAAUAAAGUAAACACUAAGUAGAGCCAAUGCAUUUACUAAAAUAGCUGUGUUUUUACUUGGUAUUUCAGAGCUUCGUUUUAUUAUAUAGUUUUACUUCUACUGAAUGUUCUAGUGUUGACUCGCUCUAAAAUUCUGUAUCAUAUGGGACACAUGACUAAUAAAAACCCUAGUUAAUGUAUUUCCCAUUCCUUAUAGACUACUGGCAUGCAGUAAAUCAGUUAUCAGUAGUUUUACAGUUGAGGCAUUGACUACAAGCAAUUACGGUAUAAAUAAGUGAUACAUUUCAGCUGCUUUUUUUUUUUUUUUUACGGGACACUGUAGAGAAAUGCAGGCCUGUUGUAUUUGUAAUUUAUUUACCAAAGGAGUGAUGUUUCUUUUAAGACUAAAACUAAUUUCCUCCUUAAAAAAAUAAUAGCUGAUUUAGCAUAAACCAUAAGAAGCUUCUGUGCAGACAUUUCAAAAGUUGUUUGUGUAUUUUCUUAGGGGUUGUCAAGAAUCAUCACAGAGACAUGUCGUCUGCAAGGUUGACAAUUAUACUGUGUAACCUUCCAGUAAAACAAACACAGUGGAGAAAAAGAGCAUGAAAUCAGUGCUUUGGCUGCUUGUCUUCAUCUGGGGGAAAAAGUGUAAGCAUACUACAAUACAUUAUACUGGCAAAUGAAGUGCUACUUAAUAACAAUGUUCUCUUUUUGUUCUUGUUGACAUUUUUUUCCCAUCUGAAAAGUCUUGAAUGUCAGACAAUGGGCAGGAUUUUCAGAAGGUUGUAAAUGAUAGCUCCAGUGCUAAUCAACUAAUCAGUAUGUAGCAUUGAUUUUGGCAUUUUCAAGCAGUCGUUAUGCCAAUUUCGUUAUUGUGAUUUCUGAAAUGAUGUUGAUUUACAAAAUAAUAUUAAUAUCUUAACGAGCAGUGCUUCUUACGACUAUUUCUUUUGUUUGCAGGUGAAUUUAAAAGCAAAUCUGUGUUGUCAGAAUUUAUCAGGAGUUCAUUUGCACUUGGAAAAGGAGGGUUUUAAUUAACGAAAGAGUAGAGAGAGAGCAUACAGGACCAGAGUUAAUUUCUUACAGACUAGAUCAUUCAAUAUUUGUAGUUAUGAAAAUAUUUAUUUUCCAUACUUGUAGUUAUGAAUGAGAUUUAUUCACUUGUUUUAACCAUUUUUAACCUUCUGGAAUGUUUGUUGUAUUGCUAAAAUGAUAUACUGUUUUUUGCACCCAGUGUAAUGUUACUACCAAGAAAUGAUCAAUGCAACUGUGGCCUAUCUGAAUUCUGCAUAAGUACAUUAUAUGACAUAUGACAUCUGACCUCUACCUGUAGAUUUUAUUUGAAUUAUACAAAUAAAACCUAACUGUAAAUAAUGAAAUCUUGGUAUAGAAAAUGGCAUAUUAGAUAUUAUAAUAGCAUUUCCUUGGGUGAUUGCAGAUUUGCAAUGCGUCCUUGGCUUUAGCACCUGUGUCUAAUCCACACAAGAACGAAGAACAAAGGAAACACACAUCCACGGUAAUGACUCCCCCCAGACUUUAUGUACUAUGUACACUUUCACCUUCACACGUUUGAAUGCAUAUACAAUGUUCUUAUAAUACUGUAAGUGUUCGGUGGCUACUUCUAAUCAUGUUGCGUUUAUUUAUUGCGGAGGCAAGCAAAGAGUACCAGAGAAAAUGCAUGACUAGAGGAAUUCACCAAACAAUUAAUUAUAAACAAAUUGUGUAUUGGGUUAGGGAGUUCUAUUGUAAUUUUAAAAGUUUAAUACAUAUAUAAUUAAGUACUACAUACAUGGUAUACAGUACAUGUUUAAUAACUAACAACUACAAACACUUUAUACGUAUUUAUUUAUAGCCUACAAUCGUACAUACUAAAAAUUACAACCAAGCCUACACUUCAUGAGCUGACAAGUCUACCACACCCACCGCCCCUUAAAAAAAAAAGUGCUUUUUUUCUUUUUAACCAAAAAAAGAUUGCAAAAUACACAUUAAGAGUUGUGUAUAAUAAGUUGUGGCAGGUGGGAGAGCUGUAUCCCUGUUAUCUACAAAAGCUCUUAUUACCAUACCGCGCUGGGUUUUGAAAAUCCUGCCCAAUGGGUUUUACACUGUAACCAAUUGUCUCAGCAGGGCAUUGGAGCAAAUGUGCACUGUACCAAAUUGGAGAAUAUUGGAUGCUGAGUUACCAAAGUUGUUUGUGCUCAAAUUCUGCUUAAUGGCCACUUCAAUACAAACCCCCAAUUAGAGCCAUAUUAUUAGUCUACUUAUUGACUUCUCUGUAAAUAGACCUUCAAUAUUAAGGCCAAGCCACUAUUGCAGAUUACUUUUAUGUUUGAUAGCGUUGCUGUAAUUGCAAUUGCUAUACACAGGAUAUAUAUUAUAUACAAGACGUGCAGUUUACAUGUGUAUCAUAAGUUACAACCUAAAUUAAUACUAACUGUUUUUCUUGCAGCUGUCCACAAAAGAUGAUGUUACUGCCAAGUCUUUAUUUAUAUUUGAGAAAAAAAAAGUUAUAUUGUGAAGACUAAAGCUUAUGCUUAAUUGAUAAUAUACAGUAGUGUAUAUCAACACAGUUUAAAUGAUGAUCGAACUAUUAACAGUGUGUUUUUGGCAUACAGAAGAGUGCAUUUUAUGAGAGGAGCUUGUUAUACAAAGCAUGGGCUUUAUACAAGGGAUGUUAAAUGAAACUGUUUAGUCAUGCGCCCAAUGCGUGCGGUACGUGCACUACAUGGCAAGAGAGUAAAUUCUGUGUACCCUCAGUAGUAAUACCCCCACUCUAUUAAGGUUAUAUUGUGGUGGUCACUUGACUGGUCUUAAUAGAGAGUUUUCAGGUUAUUGUUUAUUGCCACCUUAAUCUACUUAAUAUCUGCCUUAUAAUUCCGGCAUGUACAAAAUUAUUAAAAUGCAAUCUCCUUUCCUUUUAUUAUGAGCACCCCACAUACAAUGCUGUAUUUUUCAGAGAUGAGCUGGAAAACUGGGUGCCUGCUGGAUUGUAGCUACAUGUCGUAACAUUGAUUCAGUAGGUCUGUGACAGUCCUCCAAUGGCAUUUUGACCCCCUCAUCUGUUAAUGUUGCUCUCAGCUGCUAUGACAAGCUAGGUGGUGGCUGUCUUGCCUGGAGUCAUCGCUCCAAAUUAAGGUCGGGGUACAGGGGAGGUCACUGGAAAGGCCUAAAUUGGUUUCAUGCUCAUUCAACCAAUUGAUGACUACCCUGGCCUUGUAGCAUGGCAUAUCAUCUUGGAAAACUUCAUCACCUCUGGGGAAAUACUGUAUUCAGGGGUACCCUGGACAUAUAAGAUGGAUGCCUAGACUAUUGCCACAUCUCAGCUGUCAGGUGGAAUUUAAAGUACUGUGAUGAAAAUUGAGUUGGGGGGGGUAGGGUAGGAGA